rnacentral:rRNA from 1 species
GAUGAACGCUGGCGGCGUGCCUAAUACAUGCAAGUCGAGCGAACAGACGAGGAGCUUGCUCCUCUGACGUUAGCGGCGGACGGGUGAGUAACACGUGGAUAACCUACCUAUAAGACUGGGAUAACUUCGGGAAACCGGAGCUAAUACCGGAUAAUAUAUUGAACCGCAUGGUUCAAUAGUGAAAGACGGUUUUGCUGUCACUUAUAGAUGGAUCCGCGCCGAAUUAGCUAGUUGGUAAGGUAACGGCUUACCAAGGCAACGAUGCGUAGCCGACCUGAGAGGGUGAUCGGCCACACUGGGACUGAGACACGGCCCAGACUCCUACGGGAGGCAGCAGUAGGUACUCUUCCGCAAUGGGCGAAAGCCUGACGGAGCAACGCCGCCUGAGUGAUGAGGGUCUUCGGAUCGUAAAACUCUGUUAUUAGGGAAGAACAAAUGUGUAAGUAACUAUGCACGUCUUGACGGUACCUAAUCAGAAAGCCACGGCUAACUACGUG